rnacentral:rRNA from 1 species
GAUCAUGGCUCAGGAUGAACGCUAGCUACAGGCUUAACACAUGCAAGUCGAGGGGCAGCAUCAUCAAAGCUUGCUUUGAUGGAUGGCGACCGGCGCACGGGUGAGUAACACGUAUCCAACCUGCCGACAACUCUGGGAUAGCCUUUCGAAAGAAAGAUUAAUACCGGAUGGCAUAGUCUUCCCGCAUGGGAUGAUUAUUAAAGAAUUUCGGUUGUCGAUGGGGAGUGCG